GAUGAAGAACGUAGCGAAAUGCGAUAAGUAAUGUGAAUUGCAGAAUUCAGUGAAUCAUCGAAUCUUUGAACGCACAUUGCGCCCCCUGGAAUUCCGGGGGGCAUGCCUGUUCGAGCGUCUCAGGGACGAACCCUCGCGCGGGUGUACGCGCGGUCGUGGCUGCGGUGGCGUGCCCGAGGCGGCGGCCACCGCGCUGGAAUCCAUGGGCGGACGCCUGCCGCGUGGCCGAGCGUGAUAUGACGCAAUGGCGCUCGCACGCGGCGAGGCUGCCAGCCCUGGCCCGUCUGUCGGGCGGGGGAGAGCAAGACACGUGAACUCCUCGAAUCAGGUAGGGAUACCCGCUGAACUUAAGCAUAUCAAUAAGCGGAGGA
rnacentral:misc_RNA from 1 species